GAUGAACGCUAGCGGCAGGCUUAACACAUGCAAGUCGAGGGGUAUGGUUCUUCGGAACCAGAGACCGGCGCACGGGUGCGUAACGCGUAUGCAAUCUGCCUUUCACAGAGGGAUAGCCCAGAGAAAUUUGGAUUAAUACCUCAUAGCAUAAUGAGUUGGCAUCAACACAUUAUUAAAGUCACAACGGUGAAAGAUGAGCAUGCGUCCCAUUAGCUAGUUGGUAAGGUAACGGCUUACCAAGGCAACGAUGGGUAGGGGUCCUGAGAGGGAGAUCCCCCACACUGGUACUGAGACACGGACCAGACUCCUACGGGAGGCAGCAGUGAGGAAUAUUGGUCAAUGGGCGCAAGCCUGAACCAGCCAUGCCGCGUGCAGGAUGACGGUCCUAUGGAUUGUAAACUGCUUUUGUACGGGAAGAAACACUGAUUCGUGAAUCAGCUUGACGGUACCGUAAGAAUAAGGAUCGGCUAACUCCGUG
rnacentral:rRNA from 1 species